CCUACGGGUGGCAGCAGUGAGGAAUAUUGGACAAUGGCCGAGAGGCUGAACCAGCGAAGUCGCGUGAGGGAAGAAUGUCCUAUGGAUUGUAAACCUCUUUUGUCAGGGAGCAAAGUCACCAACGUGUAGGAGUUGGGGAGUACCUGAAGAAAACGCAUCGGCUAACUCCGUGCCAGCAGCCGCGGUAAGACGGAGGAUGCGAGCGUUAUCCGGAUUUGUUGGGUUGAAAGGGUGCGUAGGCGGGUUAUCAAGUCAGCGGUAAAAUCGUGGGGCUCAACUCCAUCCAGCCGUUGAUACUGCUGGACUUGAGUGAGCGAGAGGUAUGCGGAAUGCGCGGUGUAGCGGUGAAAUGCAUAGAUAUCACGCAGAACACCGAUUGCGAAGGCAGCAUACCGGCGCCCGACUGACGCUGAGGCACGAAAGCGUGGGUAGCGAACAGGAUUAGAUACCCGGGUAGUC
rnacentral:rRNA from 1 species